AGUGAACGCUGGCGGUAGGCCUAACACAUGCAAGUCGAACGGCAGCACAGUAAGAGCUUGCUCUUACGGGUGGCGAGUGGCGGACGGGUGAGGAAUACAUCGGAAUCUACUUUUUCGUGGGGGAUAACGUAGGGAAACUUACGCUAAUACCGCAUACGACCUACGGGUGAAAGCAGGGGAUCUUCGGACCUUGCGCGAUUGAAUGAGCCGAUGUCGGAUUAGCUAGUUGGCGGGGUAAAGGCCCACCAAGGCGACGAUCCGUAGCUGGUCUGAGAGGAUGAUAUGCCACACUGGAACUGAGACACGGUCCAGACUCCCACGGGAGGCAGCAGUGGGGAAUAUUGGACAAUGGGCGGAAGCCUGAUCCAGCCAUACCGCGUGGGUGAAGAAGGCCUUCGGGUUGUAAAGCCCUUUUGUUGGGAAAGAAAAGCAGCAGGUUAAUACCCCGCUGUUCUGACGGUACCCAAAGAAUAAGCACCGGCUAACUUCGUG
rnacentral:rRNA from 1 species